rnacentral:rRNA from 1 species
ACGGGUGAGUAACACGUGAGUAACCUGCCCUUAACUCUGGGAUAAGCCUGGGAAACUGGGUCUAAUACCGGAUAUGACUCCUCAUCGCAUGGUGGGGGGUGGAAAGCUUUUUUGUGGUUUUGGAUGGACUCGCGGCCUAUCAGCUUGUUGGUGAGGUAAUGGCUCACCAAGGCGACGACGGGUAGCCGGCCUGAGAGGGUGACCGGCCACACUGGGACUGAGACACGGCCCGGACUCCUACGGGAGGCAGCAGUGGGGAAUAUUGCACAAUGGGCGCAAGCCUGAUGCAGCGACGCCGCGUGAGGGAUGACGGCCUUCGGGUUGUAAACCUCUUUCAGUAGGGAAGAAGCGAAAGUGACGGUACCUGCAGAAGAAGCGCCGGCUAACUACGUGCCAGCAGCCGCGGUAAUACGUAGGGCGCAAGCGUUAUCCGGAAUUAUUGGGCGUAAAGAGCUCGUAGGCGGUUUGUCGCGUCUGCCGUGAAAGUCCGGGGCUCAACUCCGGAUCUGCGGUGGGUACGGGCAGACUAGAGUGAUGUAGGGGAGACUGGAAUUCCUGGUGUAGCGGUGAAAUGCGCAGA